GCGCUUGCGCGCGAGCCGGGUGGAGAGGAAAGCGGGGUGAGGAAGACGUGCGGAGGCUGAAGACGCCGCAGGUCGCCCCCCACCCCCCCCAGCACGACCACCGUGAACACCUGGGCAUGCGCGCACGGAGGAACACGGGGCAACACCGCUCGGAGCUGGGAUUUUGACAUCAUCUCUCUGCUGGAGCUUGGAGCUCGGAGCUCGGAGCUUACCCCAUCACCUGCACCAAGACCGAGCCAACGGGACCUCGCUGGAUUCGUGGUGGUGAAGUUUCUAGGCCCAGACGACACAUGCGCUUUAGGAGAAGGGGGCAUGGAAGGUGAUUUUCCCGCUGCGCAUACUGACCCCAACUCUGGCAGACCAGGGCAACAGACCACGUGGACUGCCAGGGCUGUAAGCACUUUGUGGUACAUUGCCAGAAAAUAAUGGAGCAUAUGUUGGUAUUGAUUCCAAUUUACUACAUAUCCUUAACUCUGUUAGCUAUUAUUUUAAUGGUUAUUCUAAUUCUUCUUUUUUGUCCUUGUAAAUGUCCACCAUAUAAACUGCUGUCGUGUUCUUCUACUGAUUCCUCGCAGCCUUAAAAUCAGUUUAUAGAAUAUUUUGGUUUUGUAAAGUUAGUUAAUUUUGAACAUGACAUAUUUGUUAGAGUUGUUGUUAGUUAUAUGCUUGUUAGCUGAAAAUAUUCAUAUUUGUUAAGGAUAUUGUUAACAACAUGUUUAUUGACCAAAAAUUUGCCAGAAAUAUUGUUUGCUAUCAAGUUGCGUGCUAUUUCUGUUUUUUCUUUCUCUCUCUUUAUACCUUUAUCUUUCGCGCCACCACGAAGACAGCAAUGUCGAGCCACGGGGUGGUGUAAGAGACUGCGUUGGACCGUGUUUGUCUCGACACUGCUCUGCACCGCGACCAUUUCCUGGCCUCAACAUCCUGUUGCGGUGGAGGAG
rnacentral:lncRNA from 1 species